UACAGAGGUCUCAAGCGUUGUUCGGAUUCAUUGGGCGUAAAGGGCGCGUAGGCGGCGUGGUAAGUCGGGUGUGAAAUCUCAGAGCUCAACUCUGAAACUGCACUCGAUACUGCUUUGCUAGAGGACUGGAGAGGAGAUUGGAAUUCACGGUGUAGCAGUGAAAUGCGUAGAGAUCGUGAGGAAGACCAGUGGCGAAGGCGGAUCUCUGGACAGUUCCUGACGCUGAGGCGCGAAGGCCAGGGGAGCAAACGGG
rnacentral:rRNA from 1 species